AACUUGCCGCCGGGCAUCCUGAAGAGUUGGGGUGGCCGCGGGCUCCGAGCCGGGGCGCCCGGCCGCCUUUCUUCCCCCUCCCUUUCGGUCGUGGGGGAGGGGGCUCGUGUCCCCCAUCCCGGGAGGCCCGGUCCGCCCCCGCCCGCUCUCGCCCCCGCGGAGCCGGGCAACUCAUCGGGAGCCUGGGCCAAAGUGAGCGCAAAGUGCUGCCCAAGUUGCCGGGAUGGAGCUGCAGAGCCGGCCGGAGGCGCUCGCCGUGGAACUCGCGCGCCACCAGAACGGCGACCUCCAGAAGCAGUUCCACGAGAGGCAGCCGCGGAUCGCCGCGCUCAGCGACAAACAAGCUCUGGGAUCCAUCACUGCAGUGCCUGUCCCGGGGCCUCAGGUCAGCUCCCUGCAGAGGUUGGCCGGGCAAGGAGUGGCAGUGCUACCUCAGGUUAGGCCAAAGACUCUGAUUCCAGACAGCCUGCCCGUCACCCCCGGCCGGGACCGGCCACCCAAGCAGCCCCCAACCUUCCAGAAGGCCGCCGUGGUCAGCAUCAAGAACCCCAGCCCAGCCCUCCCCACCGCCAACAACACCGUGAGCCAUGCGCCAGCGCCCGGCAGCCAGCCCCAGGCCCUCGCCGAGCCGGCCGCCAUCACCUCUCCUCUGAGCAGCGCCGGGGUGGCCUACGCCAUCAUCUCCACGGCCCCCAGCAAUGCCGCCGCCAUCGCCCCCAGCGCCGCCGUGUCCGUGGUCAGCGACAGCGUCACAGUGCAGCCGCUCCUCUUCAGCGCCGACAACAAGGUCAUCAUCAUUCAGCCUCAGGUGCAGACACAACCCGAGAGCAAGGCCGAGUCGCGGCCGCCCACGGAGGAGCCGUCUCAGGGAGCUCAGGCCACCAACAGGAAGGAAGACCGGCCCCCGAGCCAGGAGAACCCCGAGAAAAUCGCCUUCAUGGUAGCGCUAGGCCUGGUUACCACGGAGCACCUGGAAGAAAUCCAGAGCAAGCGCCAGGAGCGGAAGCGGAGAAGCACCGCCAACCCCGCCUACAGCGGCCUCCUGGAGACCGAGAGGAAGCGGCUGGCGUCCAGCUACCUGAACAGCCCCCUGUUCCUCACGGCACGAGCCAAUGAGGACCCCUGCUGGAAGAGCGAGAUCGCCCACGAUGAGCACUGCGCGGCCUGCAAGAGAGGGGCCAACCUGCAGCCCUGCGGCUCCUGCCCGGGGGCCUACCACCUCGGCUGCCUGGACCCGCCCCUCAAGACAGCGCCCAAGGGCGUGUGGGUGUGCCCCAAGUGCCAGCAGAAGGCCUUAAAGAAAGACGAGAGUGUGCCCUGGACCGGGAUGCUGGCCAUCGUGCGCUCCUACGUCACCCACAAGACAGUCAAAGAAGAGGAGAAGCAGAAGCUGCUGCAGAGGGGCAGCGAGCUGCAGAGCGGGCGCCAGCAGCUGGAGGAGCGGGACCGGCGCCUGGCCUCGGCCGUGAAGAAACGCCUGGAGCUGAAGAUGAGCCUGCUGGCCCGGCAGAGGGGCGCCCAGUCAUCCUUGGACCGCCUGCGGGCCCUCCUGAGACUGAUGCAGGGCGAGCAGGUGCUCCAGGUCACCAUGACGACCACCAGCCCCGCCCCGCUGCUGGCCGGGCCCUGGACCAAGCCCUCAGCAGCAGCCAUGCACGCUGCCCUCCAGCACCCCCAGGGACACAACUGACCCCGAGGGCCCCGUCUUCACACCCACGGAGAGUCACUGGGACCCUGCCCACAAGACUGGGGGUUCUGUCAGCCUUAACUCAUGAACAAGGGGGUGCUGCUGUGUCCCCUGCCAGUGCCACUGCCCCAGGCCCGGCGCCCCGAGUCCCUAUGCGCCCUCGCCUGCGCCGCCCUCUCCCGGAGUUUCUGGGCGCGGGAGGCAUUGCGCGUUUCCCAUUUGGGGCCGGAUCAUUCCACGUCCGCGGAAGCCUUUUAUUUCCUCCUUCCGAAGAGCCGACGAAGUAUUCCACGCCUGGCUUCUUGCCAGAACGGACACUAUGCCAAAAAGUAACUGCGUUUUUGUGUGGCGUUUUUAUUGGGAGAUGUUUAAUGUGAAGGGGCGCCCGGAGUCUUCCUCUGCUCUCAGCGGCCUCCG